CUAAAAUUCUGUUGCUAGCAAAUGAGCUUUGUUGCUUCCGAUUUUGAUGAUAGAGGUUCCAAAUCGACAGAUGGCAUCAUUAAACAUGAUUUAUAUCACUUAAAAUAUCUAGAAAUUAAAUUUUAUAUCUUUUUGCCAUCAUUGAUCUAAUGAUCAAGGGGUUGCAAAAUUUGUAAUUUUAAUUUUUGAUAUUAGCCGUUUUCUGGUUUAACGGUACAAAAAAUUUAAAUCAAUUGAAUUUUAAACUAUUAAAAAUAAGAUUUAUACUCUUGAUUUUGAUUAUAAGACUCCUAUCAUAUCUUUUUUAAGAAUUUUUAUUUUUAGCCGUUUAUUUUUGUGUCCUCUUGAUGCAUAAAAUAUGAUUUCUAAAUACUUUAAUUGGUCUAGAUCAUAUUCAAUAGUAUUUAUCGUCAAUUCAAAAGCUCCAUCAUUGUAGAUAAAUUGAUAGCAAUAGAACUUGUUUUCUAUUGAUAGUAUUAUAAUUCAACUCAUUUACUAAUAGUAUUUUUCUUUUGGAAAAUAUAUGGCUUGCUACGAAACUUCUAAAAAAUAUACAGUUCUGUAGCUAGAAGGAAUAUGUGGAUUUUGCAGUAUAUACCCUGUUUGAGACAGGUGGGAUAUAUUUGUUUUGAUUGUAGAGUUGUUUGUAGCGUCCUUUUUGAUAUUUCUCACUGUAUAUUUCUUAUGCUUUCGACAAUCAAAAAAUCAAAAACAUGAAUUUUCUUAUACUUUCGAUAGUACAGUAAUUCUAUACUG
rnacentral:lncRNA from 1 species